GAGCUCUCUGGCUGAGGCUGACACAGAGCAAACAAGAACAGGAGUGGAAAGGGGAUUUAAAAAGCAAACAACAGGCAGAAGAAACCAACAACCAAACAGCAGAACUGAUAUCUAGAGGCUGCUGAGGAGCAGCAUGGAGCAGCCUGCAGAAGCCCCUCAGGCAGCACCCCGGCGAAUCUCCCAGGAGAGACAGAGGCUCACAGGUCUGCCCUUGUACUUCCAAGGUUACCUAUCAGUCCGGCGCUCGCAGUGCCAGGAAUUUAGACUGUUUUGGACAGAACUGAGAGGAACUAUGCUCUUCUUUUAUGAUGAUAAGAAGGCACCAACAUACUCACACAAACUAGAUAUAUCGGCUUUGACCUCAGUAACCAGUAUUUAUCCAAAUGAAAACGACUCUGCACAGUUCAUCCUGAUGUUGUUGAAUGAAAAGCUGGAAGUGAAGGCUGAUAACUGUGAGCAUGGGAAAGAAUGGAAGGGUUUUAUUCUCACCGUAACAAAGUUGUCAGUUCCACUGGAUGAGUCGUUAUCACUUGAACAACUUACAAGAAUACAUGAAGUGCUAGAUAAAGAAAAGAAAAGAAGGGUUAUGCUUACUGACUGUUCCAGCACAACCCAGAAUAAAGAAAGCCUUUCCAGCAAGGACUACAGUAGUACAGUGACUGCUAUGCCAGCGUGCUUCUAUGCAGUGUCUCGGAAAGAAGCAAUAGAGAUGUUAGAAAAUAACCCUUUGUGUGGGAAUUUGAUCCUGCGUCCUGGCAGUGACAGCAAGAACUAUGCAAUCACUGUCCGACAGAUGCUGGAUGCUCCAUGCAUAAAGCACUACAGAGUGACAUCCAGAGAAAGAAGUUACAUUAUUGAAUUGGAAAGACAGGUGACAGUUAGAAGCCUUCAGGAUGUCAUCAGUUACUUUGUGAUCCAAACCCAUGGAAACCUGAAGCCUUUCAUCAUGCAGACAUGCAACGAGGCUCUGCAGAAGGACCACAGUUCUGAAAGCAAAACACGAGUAAAGUCCUGAUGAAAGACAGAGGCACAAAAAGGAGCCAGUGUCCAUCCUCUGGGAAACUGGAGAUCCAGCCUUCAAAACAAGUACCCAAAGUGGGUACUGAAGACAAUUGGGACACUCCAAGACAGCAUAGAUACUUAUUAUAUUUUGAUUUUUGCUGCUUGCAGCACAAAUGGAAGAGCAGUUUUGCAUUCCUGGGAAUUUUGCUCUGCAAUGCACAGCAAGUCUGACAGGCCUGGCAUCAGCCUUACUGCACAGCACCUGGAUGCACAGAUCUGUCUGCGGUCUCCUCAUUGCACAUAAAGGAGCAUUACUCAUGCAGAGGACUUGAAGUAGUUCAGGAGAUAAGAAGCAAAAUGUAAACACGUGACUUGCAGGAAGAUCCAGUUAGAAAAGACAAAGUCUAACAUGAAAAACAAAGGAUAGGCAAGCAACAAAGAGGCUGUAAGUAGUAAAAAUAAUAACUAAAAUAAAAACUCCACAACAAGAUUCCUAAUAUACUUAGAAAAUGCCUGAAAAAGAUCUUUCAAGGCAGUUAUUAUGUUACAUAGGAAAUGGUCCACCAAAAUAAGGAUUUACGACUUCAGAGCUAACUGAAAAUACUUAAUUCACUACUCAUGCAUUUUUCUGGUUUGAAUUACAAACCAAGACGAAUAUAUAUACAAACAGCUGCUGAACAAUCCAUGCUGAAGGACAGAUUAAGAAUCACUUUAGUUAGUUCUUGGAAAGGACAGGAAAAUUGGAUGCUGGAUCAGAAUUGUAUGCCUAUAUACCCAGGUUAUGAAAUAAGAACACUACUGCAGUAUCGAUUACCUGUUCUGUGAAAGGAACACAGUACACUGUAGCGAAGAGUUUUGCUGCGCUCACAAUGAAAUCAUAGUGCCUAAAGUGGAAGAUAAUUUUUAAUUAAUUUAUUUUAAGUUUUAAUUAGCCACAUGCACAUUUGCAACCAUAUUCAAAGAGAUCUUGCAAAUAUACAUAGAGAAACAGAAUUUCUAACCUUCAGAGCACACUGUCUAAAAUAAAGAUUUUGAGGUCCUCAGAAGUCCUCCCCAAAAUUAAGUGACAUUUUGUGAGUGUGAAGUUAUUUAAUGCUAGGAUUAACUGUAUUUUCUUAACCCCUGCAGUCAUGAGAGCAACUAUAAAAUCUUACACAACAUCAAUGCGAGGAUAGAAAUCUUCACCUCAAAAAUACCCUGAUUCUUAGAAUGAUCUCAGUUUUCACCCACACUAAGAAUGAGGAGUAUUUCUUUAGUCACACAGUAAGCAGAACGUGUUGUUCUAAGCCUUUUCAUACUAGACAGAUACUGUCAGAACUUCCCAUAGCACCCUCUGAUGUAAUGUCAGUUAGAGUUAAAUUACCUGCAGUGAAAGUUUAAGAUGGAUCACUCUGUCUGCCACUGUAUAAAACUCUGCACUAGUACCCAUCAAAUACCAGUCCAACCUGUAGUGCUACAACGCCACUGCUCUACUACGGGGUGAGCUUCAAAAGAUGUUUUAAAAUGCAGAGCAAUACUUACAAAGGAUCGUUAAAAUCAAACUUCACUGGGAAAGGUGGCCUCUUUGGUGACUGCCAGAACAAACCUGGUUAGAAGACAGACUUAAGAUGAAGUCCUAGAACAGCAACACAUGACACAAGCCAUGAAUUCACAGCAGGCACACGGAGGUGUUUGUACUUACUUCCAUCUUUUAAUCGUGUAUCAAGAGGAAACGAAUGAAGAAGCUGAAGAGCCUAAAAGGAAAGAGAGUAGCUUUAGCAGUUUGUCAGACUGAUGCAACAUCACAAAACCAAAAUCUCCUUUUUAGUAAUAAUAUGAAAUCUUUACACAUCUUCUAAGGCUCUCCAAUGUAUACCACAAGUCAUUUAAAGAGUUAAAAUCUAAGAUACCUGUAUCAAUACGGAGAGCUUAAAGACACAAGUACACGUAGACAGAAUGACUUAAUCAUUCACAGGAUGAAGAUGACAAUGUCACCACGUGUCAGAUCCCACCUACCACCCCACCAGUCCCAGCUCCAAGCAAAAUAAGCUUUCUUAUUACUAAUUUCAUUUUUUAUUUUUAUUUUAUUACUAAUUACUAAAUUACUAAUAUACUCCUCUCUACUACAGAAUUCCCCCCGUCCUUCCCCAAACACACUUGAAGCAACACUGUGGAUCACAACUGAAUAACGACUGGCCCACAUUUCAGCCAACCUUUCUGUGAUAGCUUAAAGAAAAAUCAAGGAUACAAAUAUGAAGAGAUGAGUAACACAGAGUUUAGUGGGAGAUAAAGAAAGGUAUUGUACUUUAAUAAGAGAUACCUAAUCAGUUGGGAAAAAUGCCAACAGAACUGCAUGGAGAAUCCUAAAUAGAGCUAUUAGGGAAUAGUUAAUAGAGCAGUCUAAAAAAAGAAAUCCCCCCCAAAAAACUCUACAGUUAAAAGAGGUAGGGAUGCUACAGUUUUAGAUUUCAAGCAAAGCUUGUUAUUAAUGAAGAAGAGAAGGAAACACAUGCAAAGACUUGGAAAACUAUUUCUUUAGGGAUACCAUGUCCCUGUCAGUCCACAGGUGCCCCAUUUCCACACCCUAGCUACCUACCUUGUG